AAUGAGUUGAAUAAGUCAUAUCUUGAAUCUUGUCAGCAAUAUAAAACAAAGAAAGAGGCCAAAUUGGCUCUCAUUGCAGAGCGACGACAGGAGGUUCAGUCAGUUAUCUCUGAAGCCUCUGUUCAAUCAUCUGUGGAGUCAUUUUGGUGGAUUUCAGUAGACUGGCUACACCAAUGGGCAGACACCAUCACUCCUACGACUUGAUUAUGAAUACAAAGCCAUCCAUCUGUUCAAACGAGAGCAACACAGUCCUGUUAACAAACUAAAAUUGUUCAAAAAUCUCAUCAGUCCAAAUUAGAAGCAAAUCUAGCUAGAAGAACAGAACACUACUCUUCUGAGAACAUGCGGGUUAUUAAAGGUUUUACGUUCUCCCAUACUAAUCAUGAUCACACAGCUGCAGAUGCACACACUAUCUUACAUACUAUAACCAUCACAAUUAGAUUGUUGAUCAUCCAUCAAAGUAGUAAAACAGUCAAAUUUUUACAUACUAUAACUAUGCUAUUGAAAUGUUCUGAUGGCUUAUUGACUUGUAGAUAAAGAGGGAAAUUGUCACAGUUAGCGGUUCACAUGAAAUUAUUGCAUUAUGGCUAACACCUUUGCAGACACCUUGCAAUCAGACGAGGCUUCAUCAUCUAGGCAAAGUAACAAACGUGGUUCUACUCACGCAGACUAUAAAAAAGUUAGAAAAGAGAUGGCAGGUGAUAGGUAGAGUAUCAAGUUUUGCGAGGAGUUUAGGGCGGAUGUUAGAAAAUGGAUUUAUAGAWUGAUUGAAUGUU